rnacentral:lncRNA from 1 species
AACCUCUUAUGAAGAAGAAGACCAAGACCAAAUAAUUUUAUAGCAUCAAAAAGUAUGAUGCCAGGCAGCUGAAUAAUGAGAACCACUUUAUUUACAGAAUCAGCAAAGAGGGCUAGCGCCUGAAAUAAAGAGCAGCAUUGAUUAAGCAGAUAGGAAUGUCAAAAUGCAGAAAUAACAACAUUCAUAAGCUAAGUGAUAGAAUUAACAUGCAUAAUAUGUUGCUUUAGGCAUCUUAAAUGAAGAAACAAUUCCCUUUGCAUGAAAUCAAAGCACAGUAAUUACUUUUAAAUGUAAACCACAAUACUAAUACUAAAAUCGAUAUUCAAGGACGACAAAAGAGACUAGACUUGAUUUGUCAAAAAUCCAUGUUGCCUUUGAUUGGAGUAAACUAGAUUAUCCCUCAACAUUUGACAUUUAUAUCAGAGUCCCUCAAUGUGGCCAAAGUGCACUAACACCUGAGAAGCAACUUGUCCCUACUACUCCACCAACUACUACUAUUCAAAAGAAUACCUGUGUAACAACAAAGGUACUCAACAGUCUUAGUUCUAAAAAACAAUUACUUUCCAAGUGCAAAUUACUCAUAGUCCAAAAACCAGAACCAGCACCAGCAUUGCCAGGGUAGCCAACACUAAAAAUCCAAAAUGAAAAACUAAAAACAGAAAUAUUAAUAAAACAAAUCCGAUAUGAAAAAACCUGUCUACUUGUGUAUUGCUGUGUGCCACACUUCGUUUUUGUCAACCUUUUAGCCCAUUUGGUAUAACUCAUCUGGAAUGACAGUCCACCUCGUAAAUGAGCUUUGCAAAUGGACAUUAAUGAACUUCUAAGGUAAAGUCAUUUCAAGCAAGCAGCUACUCCAUGAAAAGCCUUGCUCAGUACAUUAGUGCUUAAGGAGCACUUUCUCCAAUUAUUGAAAAUCAAGGUGGCUUUCUGGUACCAUCCACACCUAAAUGCACCAAUUAAUCAUCUAGACAUGUUGCUCCAUUCCUUUGCCAUUUUGUGAAAUGAUUCAUAAUAGAUUGACCAACCACCUUUCCCUUAAUCUAUCCCCAACUCAUUACCACCAAUUCAAUCACCACAACAUAAUCUAACGUCUACCCCAUCCAUAUUCUGUCCAUCAGCCUUCAUGAUGUGGAGUCUUAUUUACAAAGGUAUCCAAUUUUUUGCAAUCUAUUCCAGCUCUCUCUCUCUCUGCUCUUUUAUUGUUUUAGUAAAAUAGCCUUAAAUAUGUCAUAAAACUACAAGCAGUUCAGAGGUCACUUUAGAAACAGAGAAUUCAUGUCCCCAAGAAGUUCCAUAGCUCCAAAAUAAAUGAAGAACUGCAAGCAACAACAUUAAUGUCAAAUUUGCAUUAGGUCCUGAAUUCUAGUUUUGGUGACAAGAAACACAUCACCUUAAUACAGAAGCAUAAUCAAUUAGAAUGGUGGUAAUAAAAAAAACUUGUGUUCAUCAGGAACUACAAUUUUAGCAUUGCCUUAGUCAAAAUUUUUGGCAAUUCUUAACCUCCCCAUAAAAUUUGGCAGGAAAAGCUCUCCUUUUUCAAUGUGUAAUUAAAUCUCAUCCAGUCCACCACCAUCGUCCAUAUAAAUUUAAAAGAUAACACUGAAAUAACACCAUUCAUACAAAAAGAAACAGUUCAAGUGAUGACCAUUAAUGAGCAUGAGAAAAAUUUAAAUGUGUGGGAGUACUGAAAUUGGUGUGCCUCUGUCUGGGGGUAUGAGAGAGACAGAGACAGAAGGAGCUUGCAAGUGUAUAAAGACUUGAUGGGCUUAUGCUUGAAGACCAUUACCUAAUCUUCAGUAAACAUCUCAAACGGGAGACAACGCACAGACAUGGCUGGAACUGAAAAUCUUGCAUUGAAAUUGAUCAAUUUGACUCCAAAAAAGACUAAUAACACGUGUUUUACUUAACUCAUCUCUCUUAUAAUCUUGUGAAAUGUCAAACCAAUGAGUCACACUUCAUCAAAAUCCUAUGUGGUCUAUUUCAAUAAAUGAGCGUCCAAGGAGUCAACAUUAGGCAACAAGAUUUAUCUACACAUAUGACGAGAUGCACAUUCAAUUACCAAAAAAAUCUUAAAUGCUAAAGAGUACACGAGAAUUGGCCAUUUAAAGACACUACAUAACUAUGCAAACAAACAUCCAGCUUUCCAUCAAACCAACCGAAAGUAAAUAUUUCCCAAAAUGCAGUAAAACCUCAGCAGUUCAUAAAAAGAGAAAGUAACAAAAAAUCAAUUAUCUAUAAAUUCCACAACUAACCAAAGGGCCAGCAUGUACACAUGUAGGAGCCAAGUGCACCAGUCAUGCAGUUCACCCAAGAUACUCAUACCUAAAGGCCAGACCCUAGUUCCACAGCCAGUAAAGUGUACAGAUGAUAUCGAACAGCAGUUACAGAACAAUAAUCUAAGAAGGGGCGCUCUUAUCCCAGGCAUACCCACUGUAGCUCAUCAGCCCAAAAGAAGGAAGAAAUGGAGCAAAAUUACUUAAAAAAAAAAAAAUAAAAGGAAUAAAGUAAGCAAUGCCAUGAACACUUAAAAAAGAGUUCAGUACUUAAGCCAGUCCAGAUAAUGUCGCAUACAAUGGGAACCAACAUAAAAGGGAAAGGAAAAAGAAAAAUAGUAGCACUAACAAUAAAAGCUAUUACAAAGCCCAAACCCUAAUUCAAUUAAGGCAAUUUGAUCACACAACUUAAAACAAAAUCCAAUAGCAAUAACGAAUUGAAAAAACGAAAAACUAGAAGGUAAACGAGCGAAACCUGUUGAAUUGUGAAUUAGGGUUUCGAACAUUUUUACUUUUUCUGUUCCCUUUUUCUCCUCUGUUUCGGUGAAAUGAUAAAGAGAGCAGGCUGUAGCUUCUUCCUCCAAUAGUAAUCGGACCGUAAUUUUGCAGCUUACGCCAAGUCAGAAUUUUGUCUGUAUUUGCAAUCUCUAUAUUGUAUAAGCUCCCCUCCGUCCAAAUGUCGUUUUGUCUCUCUCUCUCUCUCUUCUCUCUCACGCACCCUGUGAAGAAGAAAAGGAGAGAAAAAAAGGAGGGUUUUACAGAAGAAACACGGACGGAUUUGGGUAGCCAAUAAAAUAAUUUUAUCGUAAAUUGAAGAAAACAACCCUCAUGUGUUGCUAAAAUGUAGACAUAUUCAUCAUUCGAAAUUUUGUCGCAG